GAUUUCAACUAAAAAAGUCAUCAAUAACAAAGUGGUAUAACUCAUCAAGAUAUAUAACUUUUAUUUGGGUCAUUUUUUCAUCCGACAAAGCGAAUUGUAACAUUGUUCACAAAAUGUACAUAUCUCUUAUAUAGUUUAUAAACAAUGAGAGAGAUAUGUAAAUUUUGUAAAUAAUAUUACUAUUAUUUUGUCGGAUGAAGAAAUGACCAAAAUAAAAGUUAUAGAUAUUGAUGAUUUAUACAACUUUGUUAUUGAUGACUUUUUCAGUUGAAAUC
rnacentral:pre_miRNA from 1 species